UACGGAGGGUGCGAGCGUUGUCCGGAUUUAUUGGGUUUAAAGGGUGCGUAGGCGGCCCGGUAAGUUUGGGGUGAAAGCCCGUUGCUCAACAACGGAACUGCCCUGAAAACUGCCGGGCUUGAGUCCAGUCGAGGUUGGCGGAAUGGGCGAUGUAGCGGUGAAAUGCAUAGAUAUCGCCCAGAACACCGAUUGCGAAGGCAGCUGACUAGGCUGGUACUGACGCUGAGGCACGAAAGCGUGGGGAGCGAACAGG
rnacentral:rRNA from 1 species